GACGAACGCUGGCGGCGUGCUUAACACAUGCAAGUCGAACGAUGAAGUUCCUUCGGGAAUGGAUUAGUGGCGAACGGGUGAGGAACACGUGAGAAACCUGCCUUUCAUUUUGGGAUAACUCCGGGAAACCGGGGCUAAAACCGAAUACUCCGUCUCGGCGGCAUCGCUGAGCCGGGAAAAAAUUUUGAUGAAAGAUGGUCUCGCGGCCUAUCAGCUAGUUGGUGGGGUAAUGGCUCACCAAGGCAACGACGGGUAGCCGGCCUGAGAGGGCGACCGGCCACACUGGGACUGAGACACGGCCCAGACUCCUACGGGAGGCAGCGGUGGGGAAUAUUGGGCAAUGGGCGCAAGCCUGACCCAGCGACGCCGCGUGAGGGAUGAAGGCCUUCGGGUUGUAAACCUCUUUCAGUAGGGAAGAAGCGAAAGUGACGGUACCUAAAGAAGAAGCACCGGCUAACUAUGUGCCAGCCGCCGCGGUAA
rnacentral:rRNA from 1 species